rnacentral:rRNA from 1 species
ACGGCUCAGUAACACGUGGACAACCUACCCUGAGGAGAGGGAUAACCCCGGAAAACUGGGGAUAAUACCUCAUAGACCAGGGAUGCUGGAAUGCUUCCUGGUCCAAAGGUCCGCCGCCUCAGGAUGGGUCUGCGGCCGAUUAGGUUGUUGUUGGGGUAACGGCCCAACAAGCCUUUGAUCGGUACGGGUUGUGGGAGCAAGAGCCCGGAGAUGGAUUCUGAGACACGAAUCCAGGCCCUACGGGGCGCAGCAGGCGCGAAAACUUUACAAUGCGAGAAAUCGUGAUAAGGGAACCCCGAGUGCCCGUAAAUCCGGGCUGUCCGCCAGUGUAAAUAACUGGUGAAGAAAGGGCCGGGCAAGACCGGUGCCAGCCGCCGCGGUAAUACCGGCGGCUCGAGUGGUGGCCGCUAUUACUGGGCUUAAGGCGUUCGUAGCUGGGCUGUUAAGUCCCCUGGGAAAUCCACCGGCUCAACCGAUGGGCGUUCAGGGGAUACUGGCAGCCUAGGGACCGGGAGAGGUGAGGGGUACUCCAGGGGUAGGAGUGAAAUCCUGUAAUCCUUGGGGGACCACCUGUGGCGAAGGCGUCUCACUAGAACGGCUCCGACAGUGAGGAACGAAAGCUGGGGGAGCAAACCGGAUUAGAUACCCGGGGUAGUCCCAGCUGUAAACGAUGCGCGUUAGGUGUAUCGGUGACCACGAGUCACCGGAGGUGCCGAAGAGAAUCGUGAAACGUGCCGCCUUGAGAAGUACGGUCGGCAAGGCUGAAACUAUAGGGAAUUGGGCGGGGGGGA